rnacentral:rRNA from 1 species
AGAGUUUGAUCCUGGCUCAGAACGAACGCUGGCGGCAUGCCUAAUACAUGCAAGUCGAACGAUCACUUCGGUGGUAGUGGCGCACGGGUGCGUAACGCGUGGGAAUCUGCCCUUGGGUUCGGAAUAACAUCUGGAAACGGAUGCUAAUACCGGAUGAUGACGUAAGUCCAAAGAUUUAUCGCCUUGAGAUGGUCCCGCGUCCGAUUAGCUUGUUGGUGGGGUGACGGCCUACCAAGGCUGCGAUCUGUAGCUGGUCUGAGAGGAUGACCAGCCACACUGGGACUGUGACACGGCCCAGACUCCUACGGGAGGCAGCAGUGGGGAAUAUUGCACAAUGGGCGCAAGCCUGAUGCAGCCACGCCGCGUGUGUGAAGAAGGCUCUAGGGUUGUAAAGCACUUUCAGCGAGGAGGAAAGGUUGUAAGUUAAUACCUUGCAGCUGUGACGUUACUCGCAGAAGAAGCACCGGCUAACUCCGUGCCAGCAGCCGCGGUAAU